rnacentral:misc_RNA from 1 species
UCCGGGUUGGUCCCGGCGGUCCCGCCAGACAUAAUAACUGGCGGCGGGGGUUGCGCUCGUUGCGGGACUUAACCCAACACCUCACGGCACGAGCUGACGACAGCCGUGCAGCACCUGUGCACGCUCCCUCGCGGGUCCCUUCCCUUUCGGGUUGGUACCACGUGCAUGUCAAGCCUGGGUAAGGUUCUUCGCGUUGCAUCGAAUUAAACCACACGCUCCGCUGCUUGUGCGGGCCCCCGUCAAUUCCUUUGAGUUUUAGCCUUGCGGCCGUAGUCCCCAGGCGGGGCGCUUAUUGCGUUAGCGACGGCACCGGGGGGGUCGAUACCCCCGACACCUAGCGCCCAUCGUUUACAGCGUGGACUAC